GGUACUUCUGGCAGCCCAACCCACCAGUCUGUAUAGCUCCCUGUGGAGGAAACUUGACCGGCUCAUCAGGUUUUAUACUUUCACCAAACUUUCCUCAUCCUUAUCCCCACAGCAGAGACUGUGACUGGACUAUCACUGUUAAUAAUGAUUAUGUUAUAUCAUUGGCAUUUAUCAGUUUCAGUAUAGAACCAAAUUAUGACUUUCUUUAUAUCUAUGACGGGCCAGACACUAAUAGCCCACUAAUUGGGAG